rnacentral:tRNA from 1 species
GAUAAGAAGGCUCAGUGGUCAGAGUGCUUGAAUGGUUUUCAAGAAGCGCAGGUUCAUAUUCUGCUACAAUCC